rnacentral:rRNA from 1 species
AGUGAACGCUGGCGGUAGGCCUAACACAUGCAGUCGAACGGCAGCACAGUAAGAGCUUGCUCUUACGGGUGGCGAGUGGCGGACGGGUGAGGAAUACAUCGGAAUCUACUUUUUCGUGGGGGAUAACGUAGGGAAACUUACGCUAAUACCGCAUACGACCUACGGGCGAAAGCAGGGGAUCUUCGGACCUUGCGCGAUUGAAUGAGCCGAUGUCGGAUUAGCUAGUUGGCGGGGUAAAGGCCCACCAAGGCGACGAUCCGUAGCUGGUCUGAGAGGAUGAUCAGCCACACUGGAACUGAGACACGGUCCAGACUCCUACGGGAGGCAGCAGUGGGGAAUAUUGGACAAUGGGCGCAAGCCUGAUCCAGCCAUACCGCGUGGGUGAAGAAGGCCUUCGGGUUGUAAAGCCCUUUUGUUGGGAAAGAAAAGCAGCAGGUUAAUACCCCGCUGUUCUGGCGGUACCCAAAGAAUAAGCACCGGCUAACUUCGUG